ensembl:lncRNA
AUGCUGUUUCUGGAGGACCUGUAUUCAAAUCUCUCCGCCUGCAAAAUGCCCACUUUCAACCGCAAGAAAUUAUUCGAGGUCAAAGGAGCUCUGAGGAGCUCAGCUGAAGAGUGGAAGUGUGAAAUAAAGCAGGUGGUCAUGAGUCAAAUAACCCCGAAUUCAUACAGACGCGGACGAGCAGCCUUGGUGAUCUGUGAAACCAUCAACGUGGCCAAAGAGAUUCAUGAAGAGCUCAAAAACGUUGUUCCAGGUGAAGUUAUUCUGUACUGCCGGAGUGACAAAGACAGUCUGAGCAAAAUUGAGAAGGAACUGCUUCCUGGUGACGUCAUCGUUGCCACCAACCUUGCAGGACGUGGCACAGACAUAAAAGUCUCCAAAGAGGUGAACAACAAUGGAGGACUGUUUGUGAUCCUCUCCUUCCUUUCCGAGAACAGGAGAGUGGAACUCCAGGCAUUCGGAAGAACGGCACGAAAAGGUAAACCAGGAUCUGCUCAGGUAAUCGUGACCACUGGUCACCUGCAGGAGACCUUUAGGACAGUGUCUUCUCUGGAGGAAGCAAAGGAAACGAGGGACAUGCUUGCAGCGGAGAAGAUCCAUGACAUGACGAGCGAUGUUGCGGAGAUGAGGCUGCGGGAGGACCUGUUUUCAGAGUACUGCGAAACCCUUCAGGACAUCCACAGGAACACCGAUGGAGAUGAAAAAAGAGCUGUGGUUGCCGUCAUGAACGAGUUCUGGGGAAUUUGGUUGCAAACUAAAUCAGAUGAAAUCGACAAGUUGAAAAGAGAUGAAUUGCAAAAAAGCUUGAAAGCCGAUUUAUCUUUGGCAAAAAUUCAGUCUCAAAGUCUGACCUCACCAUGUUCUAGCAUCUACCAUUACAUCAAGUUUGGGAAUAUUGCACUGGAUGAACAUCAAUGGGACACCAGUAGCAAACUCUUUGAAAAAGCCAUGGAGCAAGAUGAGUGCUGGGCAUCCAUAGCUUUUUACAGUCACGCCUACUGCACUAUAAUGCAGCAGAGACGAGACUACCUCACCAGGGCCAGAGAUGAUCUCAGGAAAGCACAGGAGUCUCUGACGUUCCUCACAGAGGAGUGCCUGGUCUGCCUGCAGCUUGUGAAGAUGUCCUGUCCUGACUCAGGCGGCGGUGACCCAACGAGCCUCGAGAAACAGUUAACAGCCAAGUGCAACAUGUUGAGUUACUUUGACAAGAACAUUAGCGAGGCCAUCCAAAAGCUGGAGGAGAUUAAAGAAAGGAAGAGGGACGCAAAAGCCAACAAGUUACCCAUGUUCUCCCUGGUGUCGGGCGCUGAAGAAGACCUCCAAGUGCAGGCCUACAAUCUUUACAGCCAGGGUUUGAAAUAUGUCUUUUCUGUGGAAGAGGAACCUCGUUUCCCAUGGGAAGCUCUGCUGGUGUUCUGUCUGGGGAUUCUGCAGAUCGUUGCGGGGGCUCUGCUCACCGCAUUCACGUUUGGAACCUUGGCUCAAGUUGGCAUGGGGCUGGUGACUGAAGGCAUAUCGGAUUGCAUCUACGGAGUGGAGUCUAUGGUGACAGGAGAAUUCAGUUGGAAGUCGUGGGCGGUAGAAAAAGCCAUUUCUAUUGGAAUAUCUCUCAUUGGGUUUGGAGUCGGAAAGCUUGUUGCGAAGGGCUUCAAAGCUGCCAAAGUGCUAAUGAAGGGAUUUGGUAAGGAACUGAAGUCGAUGCCAAAGUUCCUCUCCAGACAGGCCAAGGACGGCCUGAGUGUGGUUUCAAAGACAAACAUGAAGAAUGCAGUGAAACACACGGCAAAACGAAUGGUGGAAGAAAUGGUUGGCUAUGGAUUUGGGAAGGCAGAAGAGGAAUUAAUGAAAGUCAUACUAAAGGCCAUUACAGACGAGGUGGAGAAGGGAAUUGGUGACGCUGUGAAAUCGAACAUGGAAGAAGAACACUUGGCUGCGCUGGUAGACUCUAUUAUCCUCUCUCACCUAGAUGGUAGUAGUCAGCUGUCUGAUCUCCUGAAGGACAAGAAGAAGAAGGAGAAACUUCUGGACAUUUUCAGAAACUUAAGCAACAUGGCGUUGCAGCCAUUCUACGCUGACCUCCAAUGGCAGCAAAAGCUGAACUCCUCCAUCUCCUCGGUGUUAAACAGAGUUAAAUCAGAGGCCAGAGGGAACGUUCGUGGGAUUCUGACAGCCAUCCAAACCCUGCACAUUGGAGCACUGGCAGCAGAUGCCACAGCAACGGUGCUCAGCAUGUCAGACAGGUUUUUCUCAAACCUCCAGGGACAGAUGGACACAUUUAUGAGGGACCGUUCGCUUUCUGAGAAAGUAAAACAGAAUGAGCUGUCCACUUCCGAAACUGAGAUGCUGAAAGAAUUCAAGCGGAAUUUAGCAGACACCAUCAGUGCUUUGUUAGCUGAAGCUUUUGUAGAAGUUUUCCACCAGAAAUUCUCCAGUCACGUUUCUUCUCAUAUCCAGGGCCGAAUUAAUGGCAUCAUUGGCCAUUACGUAAAAACGGGACUGAAGAGCCACAGAACGGAGGAGAAACUCCGAGCUGGACAAAAUAACAGGUACAUCACGUUCAUGCCAGGAGAAGAAGUUGCAGGAGAGUCGGGUAAACACUCACAGUCACACGCUGAAAAGAUCAGGAACCCUGCAACUCCAGGCACCAUUCUCGACAUCAGAGUCCUCGCAGAAACCACGGGCACCAAGGUCGUGAUCCUGACAGAGGACCAUGGUGGCCAGCUUGUCAAGAUGCAGGAGCUGAGCCCAAGUUCCAAACCUCCACAUCAAACCGUGGCACUGAUCUACAGGCCGAAGAGCGUCCAGUACCCGGACGGCCAUUACGACGUACUCAUCAACAACCAGGCGGUGAGCCUGACCAGUGAGAGCAAGAGCUGCCUGUUCCAUGCUUUAGCGCGAGGCAUGAGACCAGAGGCAGAAGAAAUGGAGGUUGCUCUGGAAGCAGCGCGCCUCCGGUCUCUGGAGGCCGACGCCCUCCUCAGAGAGCCGGGUCUUUGGGAGCCUUUCGUCAAGCGAAAAGAGUGGACCGAAGGGAUCAGGGGAGGUGACUGGUACAUCGCCGAGGGAGCAGCAAGGGUCAAAUGGAAAGACACCAAAAAGAACCUUCAGAAAGAGGUUGGAAAAGUAGAAUACUACAAGGACUGGAAAACGUAUGCAAACAAGAAUCCUGGAAUUGGGAGAUUCAUCAAUGCUGAUCACCAGCCACCGGUCAAGAGUAUAAUGCAAGCUAAAAACAUGAACCAAAACAGCAAACUAGCUACAGCCAUGCUUGAAGUGGCCACGAAGUCCUCUCCUCUGGAUAACAACCUGGUUCCCGGCGUGCAGAAGAACCACGGCCGCCAACUUCCAACCGUCUACGUUCCACAAGAAACUCACCGCGAGUUUCCCAGCACCAAGUCGAAAGCCUUCAGAACCUGCUUGGCUACCGCCAUAAGCAACGAUAACGUUGUGGGGGCCUUCAAACUGACCAUCAUUGGCGCAAUGGUCAGAUGUAAGAUCAACACCAACAAACAGUUCAAAAACUUCCAGAACAGCACCAAGAGUAAAACCAGGCUUGCCGUUUUUGAGAAGAGUUUUAUGCAGCAUUCGAAAGACAUGGUGCAGACGUGGUUCAACCUGCUGAACCCCAAGGGUGCCAUGACAAAGGCCCAGUACAAGACUCUGACGGUGUGGAUCAACAAAAAAAACUACAGCAACCAGAACGACCAACACUACCAGCAGGUCUCCGGACUCCUGUAA